UACGUAGGGGGCUAGCGUUGUCCGGAAUCAUUGGGCGUAAAGAGCGUGUAGGCGGCCCGGUAAGUCCGCUGUGAAAGUCGGGGGCUCAACCCUCGAAUGCCGGUGGAUACUGUCGGGCUAGAGUGCGGAAGAGGCGAGUGGAAUUCCUGGUGUAGCGGUGAAAUGCGCAGAUAUCAGGAGGAACACCAAUAGCGAAGGCAGCUCGCUGGGACGUGACUGACACUAAGGCGCGAAAGCGUGGGGAGCGAACAGG
rnacentral:rRNA from 1 species